rnacentral:ncRNA from 2 species
GCCACAUAGGCGGCAUAUGGUGUUCCAACGGCGCGAAGCGUCAGGACUGAAACGGGAAUGAGGAACGGUGGACCCAAUCGCGGCACCGAAGCCUCAACCGCCCCCGCGACUGUGAGCGGCGAGCAGCUUUCCAACACCCACUGGCCAACUGGCUGGGAAGGGGGAAAGCAAGCAGCGACCCGCGAGUCAGGAGACCGGCCAUACCACAUAAUCAACC